UUAUAGGAUCAAGCGACUAAGUGCAUGUGGUGGAUGCCUUGGCGACUACAGGCGAUGAAGGACGCGCAAGCCUGCGAUAAGGCUCGGGGAGCUGGCAAUGAAGCUUUGAUCCGGGCAUUUCCGAAUGGGGGAACCCACCCGCAAGGGUACUCCUGGCUGAAUACAUAGGCCGGGUAGAGCGAACGCAGUGAACUGAAACAUCUAAGUAGCUGCAGGAAAAGAAAUCAACCGAGAUUCCCCAAGUAGUGGCGAGCGAACGGGGAAGAGCCUUCAUGAUUUAGCAUUCUCGUUAGUGGAACAGUCUGGAAAGUCUGGCCAUAGUGGGUGAUAGCCCCGUACGCGAAAACGAGAGUGUGGAACUAGGCAUGAGACAAGUAGGGCGGGACACGUGAAAUCCUGUCUGAACAUGGGGGGACCAUCCUCCAAGGCUAAAUACUCGUAGUCGACCGAUAGUGAACCAGUACCGUGAGGGAAAGGCGAAAAGAACCCCGGGAGGGGAGUGAAAUAGAUCCUGAAACCGCAUGCAUACAAACAGUGGGAGCCCCUGCUUCAAGCACCUUUAAGGUUCUUUGAUGCCCGAGCGCGUAGCGCGAGACGCAUCAAAAGAUGUUAGAGGGGAGUGAAAUAGGUGACUGCAACGCGCAGCGUUGUGGUCGGUCCUGCUGAGAACACCCGGAGGGUGUUUGAAGCAGGGGUGACUGCGUACCUUUUGUAUAAUGGGUCAGCGACUUACGUUCAGUUGCGAGCUUAACCGAAU
rnacentral:rRNA from 1 species